rnacentral:rRNA from 1 species
AUUGAACGCUGGCGGCAGGCCUAACACAUGCAAGUCGAGCGAGCGGCGGACGGGUGAGUAAUGUCUGGGAAACUGUCUGAUGGAGGGGGAUAACUACUGGAAACGGUAGCUAAUACCGCAUACCAUCAGAUGUGCCCAGAUGGGAUUAGCUAGUAGGUGGGGUAACGGCUCACCUAGGCGACGAUCCCUAGCUGGUCUGCGAGGAUGACCAGCCACCCGGGAACUGAGACCCGGUCCAGACUCCUACGGGAGGCAGCGUUGGGGAAUAUUGCACAAGGGGCGCAAGCCUGAUGCAGCCAUGCCGCGGGUGUGAAGAAGGCCUUCGGGUUGUAAAGCACUUUCAGCGGGGAGGCGUUACCCGCAGAAGAAGCACCGGCUAACUCCGUGCCAGCAGCCGCGGUAAUUC